rnacentral:rRNA from 1 species
UACAGAGACUGCGAGCGUUAUUCGGAUUCACUGGGCGUAAAGGGUGUGCAGGCGGCCAGGCGCGUGAGGCGUGAAAGCCCGAGGCUUAACCUCGGAAUUGCACCUCAAACUACAUGGCUAGAGCAUUGGAGAGGGUAGCAGAAUUCAUGGUGUAGCAGUGAAAUGCGUAGAUAUCAUGAGGAAUACCAGAGGCGAAGGCGGCUACCUGGACAAUUGCUGACGCUCAGGCACGAAAGCGUGGGGAGCAAAAGGG